AUUGAACGCUGGCGGCAGGCCUAACACAUGCAAGUCGAACGAGUGGCGGACGGGUGAGUAAUGUCUGGGAAAUUGCCUGAUGGUGGGGGAUAACUACUGGAAACGGUAGCUAAUACCGCAUAGCAACAGAUGCGCCCAGCUGGGCUUAGCUAGUUUGUGGGGUAAAGGCUCACCAAGGCGACGGUCCCUCGCUGGUCUGAGAGGAUGACCGUCCACCCUGGAGCUGAGACACGGUCCAGACUCCGACGUGAGGCAGCAGAGGGGAAUAUUGCACAAUGGGCGCAAGCCUGAUGCAGCCAUGCCGAGUGUAUGAAGAAGGCCUUCGGGUGGGAAAGUACUUUCUGCGGGGAGGCGUUACCCGCAGAAGAAGCACCGGCUAACUCCGUGCCAGCAGCCGCGGUAAUUC
rnacentral:rRNA from 1 species